GUCCCACUGUCGUUAUGCUAAAUAAAAGCUAAAGCACUUAACGGGUGAUAGAUGUUUGUCUUCUUUUCAUAGUUUGUAUGUGUUGUGCCAGAUCAUCUGCCGCUGCCCGGCAGCCUGUGCCACUGGAGCGGCGGGGAGGUGUGGUGCCUAAUGCCCCCUGCUGAUCUGGACGUGGCAGCCUCUCCAGUGUCCAGACUUCUGAAUCCAGGAGCCACUGCUUAACAAGGACGCCUCUCUCAAAUCACCAGGGCUCACACUUCUGUGUCUGCUUUGUGCCACUGGUAAACUUCCCAUGUGCUAUUCCUUCCCUUCUGUAAGCUGCUAACCCCUGAAAUAACAGAUUUGCUGAGGUGUUUUUUCUCUUCUGCGUUGGACCUCUAAGGUACAGUCUAAUUGGGAAGACAAAGUGGGCUUACUGGCUUUGUGUGGUCCUCUGUAUGUACAUCUACAUGUAUGGAUGAACCAAGACUUCUUAGUAUCUCACCCUCCAAUAGAAAAGAAAUAUUUUGUUUAAUGUCUUAGAAAGAAAAAAUCUCUGCCUCUAUAGAAUAACUCUAUACUUCUCUGACUAGAGAACAGAGCUUACCCUCUUGGGUUGUAUAAAAUGUACUCAGAAUGGGGGCCAGAGAGAAAAUCAGUGAUGGGAGAUGCUGUAGACUGAUUUACAGAUAGAUUAGGUAUAUAAAUAUUACAACCAGUAUGGAUGUUUAUGCAUUGUAUAUACUCUCUGUAGUGCCUUUAUCUUAUCCAUAAGCCUAAAUUGUAUCAGAGAUUCCUGAGCAUUCAAAAAUAGGAAAUGUUACAUAACUGAUAAAGAAUAGAAAUAUUCUGAGGAAUAUAACUGCCUUCUUGGGCGUGUGUCAAACCCAUGAUUGCAGAGAAUGGAAAAACAAGUUCAUGGAGUUCAAGCUUUUCCUCCUAUGUAAAAACAAGAGCAAGCUGAAAGAUGGUGUAAGUUUUAUAAUUCAUAUGGUUCAGGUGCCUUUUUCUAGGAGCUGGAAGAAAGAACAUCUUAUUCAUACCGCUACCACUUACCUGUAUUUAAAAAUAUACAACACAAAGGUUCUGUGUAUUCCUGUUGUGUCUUGCACAAUGAAUACAACUUUGAUGGUUUGUGCUGUGUCCAAAACAAAAAGAGUUUCCGUACUUUCUGCUCUAAGAAAAGAUUUUAUCUGAACUGAGUGUACUUAAAAAGGAGAGGGGCAAAAGCACAACUGAAACCAAGCCAUAUUGUUCCCUGUACUCUAAUUCAGCUGAAGAAUAUAAAUUCUGAGCUGAAAUCAAGACAAUCAAAAAGGGAUCCUUCAGUAAGACUGGAUUUUUCACAGAUACAGUAUGUGAGGAGGAAUAUUUCCCCCAGCAUUUUCUUUGCAUAGUGUCAUUUUAUGUGGCUAUCGUGUAGAUAACAGCAGGGAAUUCCACUUAAGUAGAUCCUUAAUGGAUUUAACUAAUGCUUGCUUUGUGAUGCUUUCAGACAGUUCUCCUGUAAUGUGGAUCCUCUAAAUAUUUAAAUCCACCACUGAAGCAUUUAAUAGGAAGAAAGUCUCCUACCACUAGAAUAAAGAAAAGGCUUUCAGCUGGAAACAAUACCAAAACAAAAUCUGAUUUGUACAACUGCAUCAAGAAUCUAAGCCCACUUACUCUCUGUGGCAGCUGAUACAACAAGGACCUGGGGUGCCAGGUAAACAGCAAGCAGUCAUCUGUGUAUUGACACGAUCUCUGUCCUGUCCUGUUUCUUUAUAUCCUCCAUAUUUUUUAAGGUUGUUGGUAGUGAUUAAUGGUUUGAAUGAGCAAUAAAACUGGUAAAUUAA